UUGGCCCUCUUGGCCACCAGGGCACACUGCUGGCUCAUGUCCAGGCCAUGGGCUGCCAGCUUCUCCAGGAGAAUAUUGUGGGAGAUCGUGUCAAAGGCUUUGAUGAAGUCUAGGUAGACUACUUCAACAGCCUUUCCCUCAUCCACCAGGCAGGUCACCUGGUCAUAGAAGGAAAUGAGUUUGGUCAGGUAGGACUUGCCUUUCA